rnacentral:tRNA from 1 species
GGAGAGGUGGCAGAGUGGUUGAUUGCACCGGUCUUGAAAACCGGCAAGCCCGCAAGGGCUUCGGGAGUUCGAAUCUCCCCCUCUCCGCCA